GAUGAACGCUGGCGGCGUGCUUAACACAUGCAAGUCGAACGGAAAGGCCCAAGCUUGCUUGGGUACUCGAGUGGCGAACGGGUGAGUAACACGUGGGUGAUCUGCCCUGCACUUCGGGAUAAGCCUGGGAAACUGGGUCUAAUACCGGAUAGGACCACUUCUUGGAUGUUGUGGUGGAAAGUUUUUUCGGUGUGGGAUGAGCUCGCGGCCUAUCAGCUUGUUGGUGGGGUAAUGGCCUACCAAGGCGUCGACGGGUAGCCGGCCUGAGAGGGUGUACGGCCACAUUGGGACUGAGAUAUGGCCCAGACUCCUACGGGAGGCAGCAGUGGGGAAUAUUGCACAAUGGGCGCAAGCCUGAUGCAGCGACGCCGCGUGGGGGAUGACGGCCUUCGGGUUGUAAACUCCUUUCGCUAGGGACGAAGCGUUUUGUGACGGUACCUGGAGAAGAAGCACCGGCUAACUACGUG
rnacentral:rRNA from 1 species